GACGAACGCUGGCGGCGUGCUUAACACAUGCAAGUCGAACGGAAAGGCCCUGCUUUUGUGGGGUGCUCGAGUGGCGAACGGGUGAGUAACACGUGAGUAACCUGCCCUUGACUUUGGGAUAACUUCAGGAAACUGGGGCUAAUACCGGAUAGGAGCUCCUGCUGCAUGGUGGGGGUUGGAAAGUUUCGGCGGUUGGGGAUGGACUCGCGGCUUAUCAGCUUGUUGGUGGGGUAGUGGCUUACCAAGCUUUGACGGGUAGCCGGCCUGAGAGGGUGACCGGCCACAUUGGGACUGAGAUACGGCCCAGACUCCUACGGGAGGCAGCAGUGGGGAAUAUUGCACAAUGGGCGGAAGCCUGAUGCAGCAACGCCGCGUGCGGGAUGACGGCCUUCGGGUUGUAAACCGCUUUCGCCUGUGACGAAGCGUGAGUGACGGUAAUGGGUAAAGAAGCACCGGCUAACUACGUG
rnacentral:rRNA from 1 species